GUGGGGAAUCUUGCGCAAUGGCCGAAAGGCUGACGCAGCGACGCCGCGUGGAGGAUGACGCCCUUCGGGGUGUAAACUCCUGUUGCCCGGGACGAAUGCCCCGUUUGCGGGGAGUGACGGUACCGGGUGAGGAAGCACCGGCUAACUCUGUGCCAGCAGCCGCGGUAAUACAGAGGGUGCGAGCGUUGUCCGGAAUCACUGGGCGUAAAGGGCGCGUAGGCGGCUCGGUAAGCGUGUGGUGAAAGCCCGGGGCUCAACCCCGGGUCGGCCAUGCGAACUGUCGAGCUGGAGCACGGUAGAGGCACAUGGAAUUCCGGGUGUAGCGGUGGAAUGCGUAGAGAUCCGGAAGAACACCGGUGGCGAAGGCGGUGUGCUGGGCCGUAGCUGACGCUGAGGCGCGACAGCGUGGGGAGCAAACAGGAUUAGAAACCCUAGUAGUCC
rnacentral:rRNA from 1 species